rnacentral:rRNA from 1 species
CCUACGGGAGUCAGCAGUGAGGAAUAUUGGUCAAUGGGCGAGAGCCUGAACCAGCCAAGUCGCGUGAGGGAAGACGGUCCUAUGGAUUGUAAACCUCUUUUGCCGGGGAGCAAAAAGCGGUACGUGUACCGCAUCGAGAGUACCCGGAGAAAAAGCAUCGGCUAACUCCGUGCCAGCAGCCGCGGUAAUACGGAGGAUGCGAGCGUUAUCCGGAUUUAUUGGGUUUAAAGGGUGCGCAGGCGGCGAGUUAAGUCAGCGGUAAAAUUUCGGGGCUCAACCCCGACAAGCCGUUGAAACUGGCGUGCUAGAGUGGGCGAGAAGUAUGCGGAAUGCGUGGUGUAGCGGUGAAAUGCAUAGAUAUCACGCAGAACUCCGAUUGCGAAGGCAGCAUACCGGCGCCCAACUGACGCUCAGGCACGAAAGCGUGGGUAUCGAACAGGAUUAGAUACCCGGGUAGUC